ACACAGGUGGCCAUACCUCCAGAGAAGUACUUCAGCGGUAGAAGACUCAAGCGGCUGGUCCUCCAGAGGACCUCGAGAGGAGCAUGUUGGCAGAAAAACACACCGACAGACAUCUGCACGCCUGCAGGCCAUUGAUUGAGGGGACUAGGCGGAGUUUGGCCGGGGCUGUUGGAGGAGAGCCGGGGCCACCUAGCGGCCCAAUUCCAGGGGAAAAUCGUCUGCCUCUGGCUCCUCCAUCAGCUGAGAGCUACUUCCACUCAAUAAAACUUUGUACUCUUUCUCCAGUCCCGCAUGUGAUCCGAUUCUUCCGGUACACCAAGGCAAGAACCCGGGAUACAGAAAGCCCUCUGUCCUUGCGACAAGGUAGAGGUUCUAAUUGAGCGGACUUACACAAGACACCUAUAGACGGCAAAUUAAAAGAGCACCCUGUAACACACGCCCACUGGGGCUUCAGGAGCUGUAAACGUUCACCCCUAGACACUGCCGUGGAGUCAAGAGCCCCACAGCCUGCCCAUCUGUAUGCUCCCCUAGAAGUUUGAGCAGCGGGGCACUGAAGAAGCAAGCCACACCCACAUCGCACGCCCUGCGAGGGGGAUGACGGAACCUUUCCCGUUUCAAUAUGACCAUAGGCUCAAUUUUCCUACAUAAUUAAGAGUUUGGAAUUCGGGCAAUAUCAAGAACCACAUCUGUCCUGAAAUCAAUUAUCUCUGUUUGUGAAAUACAGAGCAAGGACAUGCCUGAGAGUGAACAUGAGGGAGGAGAUACUAGAGACCUGGAGAGGAGGAAAUAUGAAUCAUACAUUAUUCUAGAUAAUUGAGAGAGUGAACGGAAGUACAGAACAAUCGAGCACUAAAAAAAAUUGAAGUUUGUGCUCAUAAAUGUAAAGUGAGUUCAGAAACACUCUGUGUGUCUGUGUGUGUGUGUGUGUGUGUUUCUUCAACUUUAUUCAGAGCAA
rnacentral:lncRNA from 1 species